rnacentral:rRNA from 1 species
GAUGAACGCUGGCGGCGUGCCUAAUACAUGCAAGUAGAACGCUGAAGGAAGGAGCUUGCUCUUUCCGGAUGAGUUGCGAACGGGUGAGUAACGCGUAGGUAACCUGCCUGGUAGCGGGGGAUAACUAUUGGAAACGAUAGCUAAUACCGCAUAACAGUAGAUGUUGCAUGAUAUCUACUUAAAAGGUGCAAUUGCACCACUACCAGAUGGACCUGCGUUGUAUUAGCUAGUUGGUGAGGUAACGGCUCACCAAGGCGACGAUACAUAGCCGACCUGAGAGGGUGAUCGGCCACACUGGGACUGAGACACGGCCCAGACUCCUACGGGAGGCAGCAGGAGGGAAUCUUCGGCAAUGGACGGAAGUCUGACCGAGCAACGCCGCGUGAGUGAAGAAGGGUUUCGGAUCGUAAAGCUCUGUUGUAAGAGAAGAACGAGUGUGAGAGUGGAAAGUUCACACUGUGACGGUAUCUUACCAGAAAGGGACGGCUAACUACGUG